rnacentral:rRNA from 1 species
GAUGAACGCUAGCUACAGGCUUAACACGUGCAAGUCGAGGGGAAACGAUAGAGAAAGCUUGCUUUUCUAGGCGUCGACCGGCGCACGGGUGAGUAACGCGUAUCCAACCUGCCCACCACUUGGGGAUAACCUUGCGAAAGUAAGACUAAUACCCAAUGACGUCUCUAGAAGACAUCUGAAAGAGAUUAAAGAUUUAUCGGUGAUGGAUGGGGAUGCGUCUGAUUAGCUUGUUGGCGGGGUAACGGCCCACCAAGGCGACGAUCAGUAGGGGUUCUGAGAGGAAGGUCCCCCCANAUUGGAACUGAGACACGGUCCAAACUCCUACGGGAGGCAGCAGUGAGGAAUAUUGGUCAAUGGACGAGAGUCUGAACCAGCCAAGUAGCGUGCAGGAAGACGGCCCUAUGGGUUGUAAACUGCUUUAUAAGGGAAUAAAGUGAGUCUCGUGAGACUUUUUGCAUGUACCUUAUGAAUAAGGACCGGCUAAUUCCGUGCCAGCAGC